rnacentral:rRNA from 1 species
GACGAACGCUGGCGGCGUGCCUAAUACAUGCAAGUCGAGCGCUGAAGGCUGGUACUUGUACCAACUGGAUGAGCAGCGGACGGGUGAGUAACGCGUGGGGAAUCUGCCUUUGAGCGGGGGACAACAUUUGGAAACGAAUGCUAAUACCGCAUAAAAACUUUAAACACAAGGUUGAAGUUUGAAAUAGGCAAUUGCAUCACUCAAAGAUGAUCCCGCGUUGUAUUAGGUAGUUGGUGAGGUAAAGGCCCACCAAGGCGAUGAUACAUAGCCGAACUGAGAGGGGGGUUCGCCGACAUGGGAACGGGACCCGGCACAAGCGCCCUCGGGGAGCAGCCGUAGGGGAACUUCGGGCAUGGGCGGAAAUCUUGACGCAGUACGCCGGGGGGGGGAAGAAGGUUUUCGGGUCGGAAAACUCUGUUGGUGGGGAAGAACGUUGGUUAGAGUGGAACGCUCAUCAAGUGACGGUAACUACUCAGAAAGCAACGGCUAACUACGUG